rnacentral:lncRNA from 1 species
GAAGCCGAAGUUCAACCUCUUUGUCAAGCAGGUGUCCGCCAGCAUUGAGAUGGCAGAGCCACACAUUGAUGUAUGGAUAUUUUCUGGUUGUUUGCCCCGUUCUCAAACUAAUAAAAAGGAAGUACAUGCUAAUCUUUUGUUUUGCUCAUAUUGUAUUGAUCAUAUUUUGUUUUCUGUUCGAUGCCUCCUGUAUUUAGAGUAGAAAUAUUCUUAAUUUAGUGUUUCUUGAACAUGGCUAGGGCAAUGGAUAAAAUCUACUCUAGACAGUUGACAAAGGGAGUACAUGCUAAGUUGACUUUUUUCCUGCGGAUUUGCUUAUCAUGAAGAUGCUUGCAAGGAUGCAGAGGGAGCGGAUCAUUUGGAGAGAUAGGAUGCCACUGUUUGGUGUUUUUAUCCAUUUUGGUUUGCUUGUAACUGUGUUUGCACUAGCUGGGAGUAAGUGACUUCAAGAAGUGUAGGUGUUUUAACUGAAGGCAUGAAAAGCCAUGACAAUAUGUAUGCUCUUACAGGAUGUGUUCUAAUGCCGCAGGUUUAUUAUAAAUCUUUGAUUAGUAAUGAUGUGUAAU